GAGAAAAAUUGGACACCAUUUUUCCCCAUCAUUCAUCAUGAUAUAGCUAAAGAAAUACCCAUUCACCUUCAGCGGUUGCAGUGUUUUGUAUUUGUGUCUUUGCUAGGAUAUUUUGCAGCCCAUCCUGGCUCCACAUAUGAAAAGCUGGCCAGCAGGAUUGCUACCCUGAAGGAUUCUUAUUCAAAGCAGGGAAAGAAAUAGACAUUUGGUUGCUUC